CAGCUAGCUUAUACACCAACAUAACCAAACAAUAUAAAUAAAAUAGAAUAAGCCAAAUACCAAAAACUAAACCAUUCUUUUACCUGAGUAUGGGAGACAGAAAAGGUUCAACCAAAGCAAUAGAAAUAGUACCGCAAGGGAAAGCUGAAAGAGAAAUGAAACAACCCAUAUAAGUACCAAAAAGCAAAGACUAAACCUUGUACCUUUUGCAUCAUGAUUUAGCCAGUAAACACAAGCAAAGAGACCUUUAGUUUGAAACCCCGAAACCAGGUGAGCUACCCCGAGACAGCCUAUUAAGGGCCAACCCGUCUCUGUGGCAAAAGAGUGGGAAGAGCUCCGGGUAGAAGUGACAGACCUACCGAACCUGGUGAUAGCUGGUUGCCUAAGAAAUGAAUAGAAGUUCAGCCUCGUACACCUCAAAUCAAAUAAACACCAAUCAAGAUAUUAAGAGAAAAAUACGAGAGUUAGUUAAAGGGGGUACAGCCCCUUUAACAAAGGAUACAACCUUAUCCAGGAGGAUAAAGAUCAUAAUAUAUAAAAUAUACUGUUCUAGUGGGCCUAAGAGCAGCCACCUAAACAGAAAGCGUUAAAGCUCAGACAGAAAGAAAUUUAUUAUUCUGAUAAAAAAUCUUACUCCCCUAAAUACUAUUAGGCUAAUCCAUGCUUCCAUGGAAGGAAUUAUGCUAAAAUGAGUAACAAGAAGGCUCGCCCUUCUCCAAGCAUAAGUGUAAGCCAAACCGGACCAACCAUUGGCGAUUAACGAACUCAACCCAAGAGAGCAAUGUGAACCGUAAAAAAAACAAGAAAAACCCACACUUAAAAAUCGUUACCCCCACACUGGAAUGCUAUUAAAGGAAAGACUAAAAGAAAAGGAAGGAACUCGGCAAACACAAGCCUCGCCUGUUUACCAAAAACAUCGCCUCCUGCAACACAGCCAUGUAUAGGAGGUCCAGCCUGCCCAGUGACUACAAGUUCAACGGCCGCGGUAUUUUGACCGUGCAAAGGUAGCGCAAUCACUUGUCUUUUAAAUAGAGACCUGUAUGAAUGGCUAAACGAGGGCUUAACUGUCUCCCCUUUCAAGUCAGUGAAAUUGAUCUGCCCGUGCAGAAGCG
rnacentral:rRNA from 1 species